AGCUUCUGCCAAAAGGUGGAAGGAACGAAGACAUGAGGAAAGGAGGUGAGGAAAGGAAUCGAGGGAACACAAGAGACCGCCAGCAAAGAUUGACAACCUAAUGGAAGAUCUCUACCGUACCAGGUGCCAAGGCCAUCCUGACAUCUUGGCCUGACACAGUGAAGUGUCACCUCCUCAGCCAGACGAUCCCUCAGCGUCAGACUCAGAUGGAUCAGCAUCAUUAACUACGUCUCUCUGAAAAAUGUGAAUCAAAUGAAGAACCUUGUUUCCUUGUAAAGUUAGUUUGUUGUUGGAUCAGCUGGACUAAA